GACGUAGGGCGCAAGCGUUGUCCGGAUUUAUUGGGCGUAAAGAGCUCGUAGGCGGUUUGGUAAGUCUGGUGUGAAAUCUCCACGCUCAACGUGGAGGGGCCACCCGAUACUGCCAUGACUGGAGUCCGGUAGAGGAGUGUGGAAUUCCCGGUGUAGCGGUGAAAUGCGCAGAUAUCAGGAGGAACACCGGUGGCGAAGGCGGAUCUCUGGGCCAUAACUGACGCUGAGGAGCGAAAGCAUGGGGAGCGAACAGG
rnacentral:rRNA from 1 species